UGCGUAGGGGGCAAGCGUUGUCCGGAUUUAUUGGGCGUAAAGAGCGUGUAGGCGGCCUGAAAGGUCAGCUGUGAAAACUCGAGGCUCAACCUCGAGACGUCGGUUGAAACCAUCUGGCUAGAGUCCGGAAGAGGAGUGUGGAAUUCCUGGUGUAGCAGUGAAAUGCGUAGAUAUCAGGAGGAAUACCGAUGGCGAAGGCAGGUCUCUGGGCUGACACUGACGCUCAUGCACGAAAGCGUGGGGAGCAAACAGG
rnacentral:rRNA from 1 species